rnacentral:lncRNA from 1 species
AUUAGGAGAUUAAAAUUGAUCAGCAAAUGGUGUAUUUGCAUUUAAUAUUUAACUUAAAUUCUGAAAAAUUCCCCAGAGCUUUUUAUAAUUGGAUUUAAUCAUCAUUUGAUUUGUGUUUGUUAAUUCCCUCUUUAUAUUUUCAUUAAUCGACUGUUAGAAAUUAAAAAUAAUCAAAAUUAUUGGUUCGUGUUCACUUUAAGAAUUAAUUUAGGAAGUCAAUAGUAAUUGUUA